AGUGAACGCUGGCGGUAGGCCUAACACAUGCAAGUCGAACGGCAGCACAGUAAGCGCUUGCUCUUACGGGUGGCGAGUGGCGGACGGGUGAGGAAUACAUCGGCAUCUACUUUUUCGUGGGGGAUAUCGUAGGGCAACUUACGCUAAUACCGCAUACGACCUACGGGUGAAAGCAGGAGAUCUUCGGACCUUGCGCGAUUGAAUGAGCCGAUGUCGGAUUAGCUAGUUGGCGGGGUAAAGGCCCACCAAGGCGACGAUACGUAGCUGGUCUGAGAGGAUGAUCAGCCACACUGGAACUGAGACACGGUCCAGACUCCUACGGGAGGCAGCAGUAGGGAAUAUUGCACAAUGGGCGCAAGCCUGAUCCAGCCAUACCGCGUGGGUGAAGAAGGCCUUCGGGUUGUAAAGCCCUUUUGUUGGGAAAGAAAAGCAGCAGGUUAAUACCCCGCUGUUCUGACGGUACCCAAAGAAUAAGCACCGGCUAACUUCGUG
rnacentral:rRNA from 1 species